AAGCAGAAUCAUACUGGCUGCCCUGUGGAGAAGGACUUAGAGACCCAGGGAUGCUGACCAGUUAGAAAGUUGUGGCAUUAAACCCAGAGCCAUAUUGGACAGCACAGCUUUGAAGAGCCAGCCUGAUAAAUUGCAUGCGGGCAGCUCUUGCCCCUUGCUGGGAUUUUCUUGAGAAAACAAUCGCCGGGACUUUCAUUAUGUGCACUCACAUCUCAAGCCCGCUGCUGCGAGUCAGAGCGCCUUUGAGAAAUGGCUGUGAUGUGAAGACAGUGCUAAUUUUAUCUCCGAGAUGAUCCAUUAAUAAAUAACAAAGUGUUUAUAAAUAUGCAAAA